rnacentral:rRNA from 1 species
AACGCUAGCUACAGGCUUAACACAUGCAAGUCGAGGGGCAGCGGGAUUGAAGCUUGCUUCAAUUGCCGGCGACCGGCGCACGGGUGAGUAACGCGUAUCCAACCUUCCGCUUACUCGGGGAUAGCCUUUCGAAAGAAAGAUUAAUACCCGAUUGUAUCUUAAGCACGCAUGAGAUUAAGAUUAAAGAUUUAUCGGUAAGCGAUGGGGAUGCGUUCCAUUAGGCAGUUGGCGGGGUAACGGCCCACCAAACCAACGAUGGAUAGGGGUUCUGAGAGGAAGGUCCCCCACAUUGGAACUGAGACACGGUCCAAACUCCUACGGGAGGCAGCAGUGAGGAAUAUUGGUCAAUGGGCGAGAGCCUGAACCAGCCAAGUAGCGUGAAGGAUGACGGCCCUACGGGUUGUAAACUUCUUUUGUGCGGGAAUAAAGUUAGCCACGUGUGGCUUUUUGUAUGUACCGUAUGAAUAAGGAUCGGCUAACUCCGUGCCAGCAGCCGCGGUAAUACGGAGGAUCCGAGCGUUAUCCGGAUUUAUUGGGUUUAAAGGGAGCGUAGGCGGGUUGUUAAGUCAGUUGUGAAAGUUUGCGGCUCAACCGUAAAAUUGCAGUUGAUACUGGCGACCUUGAGUGCAACAGAGGUAGGCGGAAUUCGUGGUGUAGCGGUGAAAUGCUUAGAUAUCACGAAGAACUCCGAUUG